CCACAUUGUCACCUCCUCUCUCUAUCCCUCCUAAGAAUAUGAAAAUGACUGAUUUGUUCCUGGAACAGAAGUCUUUUUUCGCUAUCUACUUUAUUUGCGUGUCUUCUUUGAAUAUUUCUUAUAAUAAUAAGAAUUAACAUAUGGGUAUUGUACCUAAAAUUGGGUCUCUCAGAAUCAAGUGAAAGUCGUAUCCGGAUCGACCUAGUGACGUUGAUUUCUUCACCUCAAGACAAUUCUAUAAAUUGGCCCCCAGAGAAUCAGCAAAUGCAAAAUCCAACUUCAGCUCUCUUAUCUCUAAACUCAGUUAUGGCACCUAAACCUUCUCCCAUGUUCUCAUUCAUUCUUCUCUCUGUCUUUCUCUUUCUCUUCCUUCUUCCUAUCUCAUCUCAUGAGACAUUGUCACCUUCACCAAAUGGUGAAAAGCCAUCGCCAUUUGGGUUCAUCAAGGAUCUACAGGGAUGCAACAAGAGAGACAAAGUAAAAGGCAUUCAUAAGCUCAAGAAGUAUCUCGAACAGUUUGGAUAUUUGAGCUAUAAUAGCCAUUCCAAAAACCAAAUCCGCACUGAUGAUGAUGACUACUUCGAUGAUCUCUUAGAGUCCGCCAUCAAAUCCUACCAGACCAAUUACCAUCUCAAGGCCACUGGAAAGUUGGAUUCUGAAACAGUGUCAGAGAUGAUGAGGUCGCGCUGUGGGGUUGCGGAUAUCGUGAAUGGGACAAGCUGGAUGCAGUCCUCAAAGAAAAGGCACGAUCAAGGCCAUGGCUCACUCCACACAGUCUCCCACUACCAAUUCUUCCCUGGAUCGCCAAGAUGGCCAACUUCCAAUAAUGCCCACCUCACCUACGCAUUUCUCCCAGGCACCCCAGAUGAGGCCAAGAUCCCUGUGUCUCGGGCAUUUGGCAAAUGGGCUUCUGCAACAAGCUUCACAUUUGCGCAGACUGAAGACCACAGAAACGCCAACCUGACAAUUAGUUUUCAUAGUCUUUUGCAUGGAGACUGGAACCCAUUUGAUGGCCCUGGUGGAACCAUAGCUCAUGCUUACGCCCCGACUGAUGGAAGGUUUCAUUAUGACGCGGAUGAAGAAUGGUCGGUUGGUGCAGUUCCUGGUGCAUUGGACGUGGAGACUGUUGCCUUGCAUGAAAUAGGUCAUCUUCUUGGACUUGGUCAUAGUUCUGUUCGAGAGGCUAUCAUGUUUCCUUCCAUUUCUACUGGAGUGACCAAGGGUUUGCAUAGGGAUGACAUUGAAGGAAUUAGAGCCUUAUACAACGCCUAAUAACAUAACAUGGAACCGGAAACUUCAGUUAUAUAUAUGAUAUAAUAAUAUUGAAAUCUACAUAUUAAUAUAGUAUAUAUGCAGUGUGUACUCCAUGUACAAAUUAAAUAAGCGCCAUGCAUGGUGCUCUCUCAGAAAUGCUGAUCAUGUUGAAGGUCUCAUUAUAAUCCCACAACGAAUCUGCAAAUUUGCUAGAGAGGUGAUCCCUAAAUGAAGAAGGCUACAAAAAAGGGAAAAAAAAAUUUGUUACCUUGCAUGGCUUGACUGUGUGCGGCAAUGAUGUCUACAAGUCGAGAAUAUAUGCAAGGCCAAAUCCUGGUCUUUCCAUUAGAUAAACUAUACUCUUUCUAUCCUUUGGGAAUCUUCUUCUUCAUAUUAAAAAAGUACAAAAAUUUUAGAUAAAAUUUAGACAAAUGAUAAAAUAGUUGAUACUACACGCAUUAAACUAGGGUUUUCAAGAAAUAUUUAAGUAUGAUGUACUAAGAUUGGAUAAUAAGAGAACAUCUACGGAUCUGUGUCAUAAAAAUGGAGUCUGCAUCAACAUACGUAGAUAUUUUGAUUCCUUUGUUCAGCUUAUACCGAACAGAAAGUUGUUUGGGCUUGUGUUCACAUUAUAUUCAAAAUUUUACAUGACAUUGUGCCAUAUUUGAAAUCUUAAUUAUAAGAUACUUGUAUAAAAGGAUAGUCGAUUGAACAUCUUUACUCUUCUUUCUAUAUUCUUAUUACUACAAAUAACUAUAAAUAUAUAUACAAUUAGAAAAUAUUGGAUUAUGAAACUUGAAUUAGUUUUGUUAUGCUUUAUAGAAGAUGUGGGGUCGAGUUCCCCUAUGAAGUUUGUGGGGAUCAAGUUGUUAGGUCAGUUCUUGGGGUUCAAGGGAAUAAUACCCAUGAAAGUUUUUUCUUUUUAUUUAUUUGAUGAAUUACGAGUUUUAUUGAUAGUAUAUUUAACCAUUUUAUAAUUUAGGGUUUCGUUUUACUUUUAGAAUGUGUGGCAGCAAUUGAGAGGACAACAAGAGUUUCAUCAUUAUACACUUUCUUUUUCCUUUUGAUUAAUAGAUUCUUGUGCGUUGGUGCUUAUGGAUCACAUUGAAAAAUGUUUUUCUUUAUUUUUCUACUGGUGUAAGUCUAGUUUGGUUAACUGAAAAUGUGCACAAGUUGUCUUGAGAUUCACAGCAAUGGCAGAUAAGGCUCAGGGAUCACCAUAAGGUGGGAUAGGCAAAAUAAAAUGUGACCACUCUUGAAUCUUGGAGGGUUAGGAGGAGGACGUCGUCUCUACGGUGAGACAUAGUAUAGAAACCUGAUAAAAAGGUCCAGUCAAAGAGGGACAUUAAUGAAGGUGAUGACCAACGUCCUCAUGGCCCAUGGGCCACAAAAAGGAAGUUCAUCCGGCGGUCACAAGGAGGACGUUCAGCCGUGAGGGUAAGUCCAACGUUCUCUUUAAGACACGGUGAGUGCGUUCUUGACCAGCUCAACGUGUUUGGGUAUGUGUAGUAAGCGUGAGGGCGAUGGAAACCUUGAAAAAAUUGGCCUCAAGUCCACCGCAACCUGACAAAAACUGGCUGCAAAGCCGGGUAGGCUGUUUGGUAGACAAAGGCAGACAACCGUAGCUGCAGUGGUCAUCCUUCUCUUGGUUCCAAGAAUACGCAAAUGACUUUAUUUUGCGUCUUAACUAUAUAGCGGGUCUUCGCUGAGUGUUCUAUAUGAUAAUAAGAAUUAACAUACACGGUGUUAUACCCAAAAUUGGGAGUCUUAGAAUCAAUUAAAAGUCUUGAUAUAUAGGAUUGACCCAGUGACCAUAAUGGGUUGAUCUUCAUCGCAAGAAACAAGUAAAUGGAUUGGCCUCAGAAAAUCAGCAAACGAAAAAUCUGGCAGUGUUUUCUCAUAUCUCUGAAUUCAGUAAUGGCACCUAAUUAACCUUCUUCCAUGCAUGUUCCCAUUGCUUCUCCUCGUUCUCUUCCUUCUUCCUAAUGCAUGCCAACCUCACCAAAUAGGGAAAAAACCAUCAGUUGUGGCUCCCCUAAUUUGGAAUAGUACUACUUGUGGAAGUCUGAAAAUGUGAGGAUGCAUACAAUUUCUAGUUGUGUUGAUUCUGAGUGCAUUGAGUAGUGUCAACUAGAAUUAGAUACGGAAAGCCAUUAGAGAAUAAAAGAAAAGAAAGUACAAAAAUUGCUGUUUCCCUAAUGGAAAAGGGUACUAAAAUGAAAACCACUGUUCCCUUGGACAGUUUGAGUACUGACGAUGCACAAUCGUAACCCUUCUAUGAAGUGAUGGCUGUACAUGUUAGCAUGAUCUAAUGACAAAGCCUGAUCAAAUGUGAUACCGGGACAACUUAUAUUUUAGUAGGUAAAUUAACGAUGGCAAAAGAAUCGUCUCGUAUGUCCCAAAAAAUAGAUUAUUGAGAAUCAUACUUGACAUUCACUGUCCACUUCAAAGGAAACUUGCCUAAAACUAAAUAUGACAGAUUGCUUAUUCUUUGAACGCUAAACCAUCUUGUUGAUGAUGCAAACACCAUCUCAAGGAGACCCGAUAAAAGUUGGCCACAAGGUCGGAUAGGCUGGGCAGUAGGCAGAAGGAUACACCUAGUAUAUAGCUGCAGUGGAGGGCCACUAUUAUUGGUCAUUGAAUUGCCACUACCCUAUAAUCUAUGCUAUUGCCUCGUACCCUAUGGCCACUUCCUGUCUCCAUCCAUCCCAACAAUACAAAAAUGUGUUCGAUUUCUACAAUAGAUGCAGAGCUGUCAUCCUAAGCGAUUGAUCUAUGCCGGCAUUGUCACGCUAGAGGAUACGUGAAUGACUUUGUUUUCUGUGUGGAGCGAGUGCGCGGGGUCUUUACAUAAUUUUUGGCAGUUUUCAUUGAAUAUUCUUAUAAUAAUAUGAAUUUCGUGUACUUGUUUUUAGAAUUGGAACGCCAUUGAAUCAAAAAAUUUAUUGAUUCACGGUUCACUAGUCAGAUCGGUGGUCGAACUGCGGUUGAACUGGUGACAUCAUAAAUAUAUAAUUUAUAAAUUAUUAAAAUUUAAAAUAAGAUAAAAAAGUUAAAAUAAUAAUUUAUAUAUUAUUUAAAAAUUAAAAUUUUAUUUAAAAAUCAGAAAAUUAGUUUCAAGUUAGAAAUUAAAAUUAAAAACAUAAUUUUAAUUUAAAAUUUAAAAAUUUAAUAUUUAAUUUUAAAUAAAAAACUUAUUUAAAAAUAAAAAAAUAAUUUAAAAUAAAAAAUUAAUUUAAAAUGGUAAUGUUUUUACCAUUAAAUCAUAUCUCAUACAUAUAAAAGGUGUUUUUUAAUUUUUACUUUUAUCAGCUCCCCUGCACAAUACUUUGCAGUGAAAACCCACAAACAACGAUAUCACUGGAGGGGGAGCAAUCUGACUGUGAGGGGUUGCCUUGCCAACAUUGCCGUUGUAAGAUUCACUCCACUUGACGAGUCACCACCGUCGACACCAAAGUUUUUCUUAUUUCCGAACAGGUCACGGGUUGGGGUUUUUCUUUUUCAUCUUCUUUGAUCUUUUGGGUUAAAAGUUCCAAUUUUAGAAUACUGUGUGUUUACUUUUGAAAGGGGAAUCUUUGAUAUUUAUUUGUUAUUUUGAUAUGUUGUUGUGAUUGGGAAGAAAAUGAGAAUGUUUGAAAAGUUUUUGGUAACCUAACCGAGUCACAGUCGACUGUGGGUGGGGGAGAACGUUAUGGAAAAACGAAGAAAAAAGGGAAGACAUUAUUUUGGAAGCCAAGAAAAAAGUCCAUUUUAAUCGUUUGGUUGGUUGAAAACUAGUUGGACUGGUCUGUUUGUCGGUUCCGACGAUUUGAUGAGGGUUUAAAGGCUGGCCGAUUCAAAGGGGUGAAUCGAAUUGGACUGGUGACCGGUCUAUGGUCAGAUCGAUUGGACCGGCCAGUCCGGUCCGGUUUUUAAAACGUUGCUUAAAAGUUUGGAGUCAUAAGAUCAAGUAAAAGUCUUACAAGUAUGGCUGAUCCAAUGAGUGCAAAUAUUACUUCUUUACCUGAAAACAAGCUUGAAGUGAAGAAAAGGUGGUCGAAACUCAUUUCAGAAGCUUACUUGGAAAUCUCUUGUAUCUCACAACAAGAAGAGUACCUGACAUCACGUUUACAGCAAACCCACUUUCAAGAUUCUUAUAUAUCUCUUAUACGUUGAAUUUGGGCACGCUGUUGAGACAAUAAUUGGGGUGGCUGUCCUUGAUAGUAUGAAAAGCAUCUCACACUAUGCAUUCUCCCUUGGAUUAGGUGUAACUUUUUAGGCUUUAAAAAGCAAGAUUCCGUGGCUCAAUCCUUUUCGAUCAGUAAUAGAGUGUAUUUCAGCUUCUUGGCAAACUUCUUAACCUAUAUAAUUGAUAGGAUUUUUAAAAGAUAAUAAAAAUAGAAAUUCAAGCAACAAAGUUAUAAAAUACUGCAAGAUAAGGCAUAUUGCCAAAAAAAUAAUAAUUUCAUUCUAUUAGAAAAUUUAUUUCUGAUGGUGAGAUGCAAGUAAAUUAUUAUAAAUCAUAAUCAAAUUGAUUAAGUAGCCAAUCUAGCUGACAUUUUUACUAAAGCUUUAUCAUAAAAAAAGUUUAUGUACUUUAGGAAGUCUCUUAGAGGACAUCACAUUAGUGAGGAGAUUAUUAAGUAAUUGUGUCAAAGGUGAUGCAAAAAUUAUUAUUAUAUAUAUAUUUUGCAUUGUGUGUGGAAAUUAUCUACCCAUGUGGAUAGGUUUGUAUGUAAGGGUUGUAUCUUUGUCAUAAGGGUGGAGUGAAGAAAAAACAAAGAAAUAUGAAAGGAGGUGCUUUUUAUUUCAAAAAAUAAUUUUUGAAAAUUAUUUCAAAAAAACUAUUCUAUGAUGUUUUAUAUAAUAAAAAUCUAUGUGAGAACUUAAAAUAUUUUUAAUAUGUUUUUUAUAUUUUUAAUUUUUUCUAAAAAAUAAAUUUUAUUUUGUAGUAUUUUAUUUUUAAUUAUUUUUUAUAUUUAUAUAGUUAAUUUUUAAAACAAUCAUGAUAAACAACUUAAAUAUAUUUUUAAAAAACAACAUAUUUAUGCUCAUUCGAAAAUAAUCAUAAAAUAAGAAUUUUAAUAAAGUAAUUCAACUUUUACCUAUUCUAAAGUAAAAAGGUAGUAUUUGGGAUGAGCAAAGAUAGUAUUUACAUCAUGAAUAAAGGUAAUAUUUAUGUAAUCAAAGGUAUAAAUGUAUUAAAUUUGAAUUUUUUAAAUUAAGGUUCUUUUGUGAUUUUUUUUUUUUAAAGGGUGUGUAUGGAAAGCAACUUUUGCCACUAUAAUUUCGUGACCAGGUCUAUAAAUUGGCCUCCAAGAAUGAGCAAAUGCAAAAUCCAACAGAGUGCUCUAUCUUGUCUCUGGAUUUAGUUAUGGCACCUAAACUUUCAUCCAUGUUGUCAUUAAUCAUACUCCUCUUUCUCUUCCUGUCACCCAUCUCAUCUCAUGCAACAUCGUCGCCCUCACCAAAUGGUGAAAAACCAUCACCAUUUGGGUUUAUCAAGGGUCUUCAGGGAUGUCACAAGGGGGACGAGGUAAACGGCAUCCAAAAGCUCAAGAAAUACCUUGAACAGUUUGGUUACUUGAGCUAUAGCCGUUCCAAAAACCAAACCCAUGCCGACGAUGAUGAUUUUGAUGAUCUUUUAGAGUCUGCCAUCAAAACCUAUCAGGCCAAUUACCAUCUCGAGGCCACUGGAGAUUUGGAUUCUGAAACAGUGUCAGAGAUGGUGAAGCCUCGCUGUGGUGUAGCAGAUAUCAUCAAUGGCACAAACUGGAUGCUGUCGGGAAAGAAAAGGCAGUACCAUGGCCAUGGCCAUGGCCAUGGCUCCCUCCGUACAGUAGCUCACUAUUCCUUCUUCCCAGGAUCCCCAAGAUGGCCACCUUCCAAGACCUAUCUCACCUAUGCAUUUCUCCCCGGCACCCCAAACUGGGCCAUGAGCCCUGUGUCGCGAGCAUACGGCCGAUGGGAUUCUGCAACACACUUCACAUUUGGGUGGAUUCAAGACUACACAAGCGCCGACAUGACAAUUAGUUUUCAUAGGCUUGAUCAUGGAGAUGGUUCCCCAUUUGAUGGCCCUGGUGGAACCAUAGCUCAUGCUUUUGCCCCAACCAAUGGAAGAUUUCAUUAUGAUGGGGAUGAAACAUGGUCAAUAGGUGCAGUUCCUAAUGCAAUGGACUUGGAGACUGUGGCCUUGCAUGAAAUAGGUCAUCUUCUAGGACUUGGGCAUAGUUCAGUUCAGAAUGCAAUCAUGUUUCCCUCCAUUAGCACUGGAGUGACUAAGGGUUUGCAUGAGGAUGACAUUCAAGGAAUUAGAGCUCUCUACAACCGUUGAAGACUUAAAAAAUGGAACUGGAAAGUUCAGUUAUGAUGCCUAUUGAUAUAUUACUGCAGUGUGUUCUCCUUGUAUGAAAUAAGUGCCAUGAAUGCUGCUCUGCACUGGCCAUAAUGUAUUUUCAGAAUAAUACUCUAAUAUCAGAGUUUAUCUUUGUGGUACUUGAGUGAUUUACGACGUUCUAGCAUUUCUUUAGACGGCAGAAGACUGUAAACGGAUUUGGGCCAUGUUGAACUACCGCCGGGCUUUUUUCUCUUCUACACCUGGUUUAAAAAAUAAUUAUUAAAAAAUGGUAGUUUGAAAAAAUAUUCUUAAAAUAUGGUAGUUACAAAACUAUUGAUAAAUCUAUAACCACUUUGAAAUGUGUCUAUUAAAGAAAUACCUUUCAUAUUUUUUAUAUCAACUAUACAUGUUAAAAAAAAAGAAAAAAAUUGAAUUUAUAUUAAAAUUGAAUUUAUGUUAAAGGUGUCUCUUCAAAAGACAUUUUUUCAUAAUUCCAUAAAAUUAAAUUAAUACUAAAGAUGUCUUUUCAAAAGACAUUUUUUCCAUAAUUUUUUAUCAAUCAUACGUUAAAAAAAAUUGAAUUUAUGCUAAAGAAAUAUUAUUUCCACAAUACCAUAAAAUUAAAUUUAUACUAAAGGUGUUUCUUGAAAAGACAUCUUCCAUAAUUUUCAUAUCAAUCACACAGUGAAAAAAAUUGAAUUUGCAUUGAAGGCGUUUAUACAAUUUUACAAAAUUGAAUUUAUACUAAAUGUGUCAUUUGAAGAAACACCUUCCAUAAUUUUUAUAUUAGUCACCUAUAUAAAAAAUUAAAUUUAUACUAAAAAUGUUUCUUGAAGGAAAACCUUUUAAUAUAAAUUUAAUUUUGUGGAAUUGUGAAAGGUGUCUUUUAAAGAGACAUCUUUAAUAUAAAUUUAUUUCAGUGGAUGUCUGAUAUGAAAAUUGUUGAAGGUGUCUCUUCAAGAAGCACAUUUAAUAAAAUUUAAUUUUGUAAAAUUAUAGAAGGUGUCUCUUCAAGAGAUACCUUUAAUAAAAUUUAAUUUGUUGAAAUUGUAAAAGGUGUCUCUUAAGGAGACAUUUUGAAUAUAAAUUCAAUUUUUUUAUUAUGCAAUUGAUAUAAAAAUUGUGAAAAAGUGUAUGUAUAUUUAAGAGAUACUUUUAAUAUAAAUUCGAUUUUAUAGUAUUAUAAAAGAUGUUUUUUGAAGAGAUACUUUUAAUAUAAAUUCAAUUUUUUUUAAUAUGUAUAAUUAAUAUAAAAAUUGUAGAAAAUGUUUCUUAAAAAGACACCUUCAAUAUAAAUUUAAUUUUUUAAAACGUGUAUCAUUAAUAUAAAAAUGAUAGAAUGUAUCUUUUUAAAGUCAGUUUUCAAAAUAGUAAAAUAUGUUAUAGAUUUAAAAAAUAUUUUUUAAUAUAUUGUAUUUUAAAAAAUUAAUUUCAAAUUCACUGUACAAUUAUAAAAAAUCCUACUGCCUAUCAAUAUACAUGACCCAUAAAUCGGAAAUUCAGAUAGAAAAUAGGUUCUGGCUAAUGGAGCAAGAGGGUGCAAAUUUUCGGAGCAAAAAGCUAUGAUCCAUAUAGAGGAACUCGUGUUGCUGGUUGUUAUCCAAUCAUCAUCCAAAAAACUAUAAGAUUAUUUUAUAUAAAAUAUAAAAUUUUAAUACUUUGGUAGUAUUCCCUUUAUAAUAUAUAUAAAAGUCAAAGUAUUGCAUUUGACUUUUACUUCUCCAAGUUAGGUUGGAUUUUAUUGGUACUUUUGGACUACUAUAAGCCAAGGAUCGGGUUAUAUCUUACGGCAACUAUUAUUCAUUAACAUUGUAUGUAACGAGACGGUCGCAGCUUCCAGAAAACUUGAAACCAGACCAACUCUUCUUCACUUUGUUUUAAUUAUUGUCUUACUUUUCCAAGUUUUGAAGUUUCAGUGAGAAACAGAGAAAAAGAAUAAGCAAAUGUAAAACCAGUGGAGAACCAUUCACUCAUUGAAUUGCCUCUACCGUAUGAUCUAUGCUACUGCUUGGCCCCGUUUUGACCUCUUCCUCUCUCUAUACAUCUCAAGAAUAAGCAAUAAUGUCUUUGAUUUCUAUGUGGAAUGGUCGUCUUUUGCUUAAUUGGCGGAGCCUUUACUCCGGAUUUUCUCAUAUAAUAAGAAUGAACGUACACGGCGGAAAACCCAAAACCUUUAUUAAUAAUAAGAAAUGACCCGACGACUAAAUUUCUUCACCAGGUCUAUAAAUUGGCCAGAGAGAAUGCGCAAAUACAAAAUCAAACAGAGUGCCUUUCUCUAAUCUCUGCAUUUAGUUAUGGCGCCUAAACUUUCUUCUAUGUUGUCAUUAAUCAUACUCCUCUUUCUCUUCCCGUUUCUUAGCUCAUCUCAUGCAACAUUGUCACCCUCACCUAAGGGUGAAAGACCAUCACCUUUUGAGUUUAUCAAGGAUCUUCAGGGAUGCCACAAGGGAGACAAAGUAGAAGGUAUCCAUAAGCUCAAGAAAUAUCUUGGACAGUUUGGUUACCUGAGCUAUAGCCAUUCCAAAUACCAUACCCACGCCAACGAUGAUGAUUUUGAUGAUCUUGUAGAGUCCGCCAUCAAAACCUACCAGACCAAUUACCAUCUCAAUGCCACUGG
rnacentral:lncRNA from 1 species